UACGUAGGGUGCAAGCGUUGUCCGGAAUUAUUGGGCGUAAAGAGCUCGUAGGCGGUUUGUCGCGUCUGCUGUGAAAACCCGAGGCUCAACCUCGGGCCUGCAGUGGGUACGGGCAGACUAGAGUGCGGUAGGGGAGAUUGGAAUUCCUGGUGUAGCGGUGGAAUGCGCAGAUAUCAGGAGGAACACCAAUGGCGAAGGCAGAUCUCUGGGCCGUAACUGACGCUGAGGAGCGAAAGCAUGGAGAGCGAACAGG
rnacentral:rRNA from 1 species